rnacentral:lncRNA from 1 species
GGGAGUCUUACUUCACCCCACCUGGCCAGACUCCAGAAAAUCCAAGCCAGCAGUACCAAACACCUCCAGUGCAGCCACAGCAGAUCGCCCCUCCAUCACCGCCCCUACAGCAACAAUAUCAGUCACCUCCUCAGCAACACUACUCUCAGUCACCCCCACCUCCUCAGCAACACUAUUCUCAUCAACCCCGACCUCCUCAACAGCAGUACUCUCAGCAAUCUCCACCUCCUCAACCACACUCCACAAUUCCUACUGUGAACACCUCUCAACCUCAGCUGCCAUUGGGUCGUCAUCCUGAAGAAACACCUUAUAUGCAGC